AGAGUUUGAUCCUGGCUCAGAGCGAACGCUGGCGGCAGGCCUAACACAUGCAAGUCGAACGAACUCUUCGGAGUUAGUGGCGGACGGGUGAGUAACACGUGGGAACGUGCCUUUAGGUUCGGAAUAACUCAGGGAAACUUGUGCUAAUACCGAAUGUGCCCUUCGGGGGAAAGAUUUAUCGCCUUUAGAGCGGCCCGCGUCUGAUUAGCUAGUUGGUGAGGUAAAGGCUCACCAAGGCUACGAUCAGUAGCUGGUCUGAGAGGAUGACCAGCCACAUUGGGACUGAGACACGGCCCAAACUCCUACGGGAGGCAGCAGUGGGGAAUCUUGCGCAAUGGGCGAAAGCCUGACGCAGCCAUGCCGCGUGGAUGAUGAAGGUCUUAGGAUUGUAAAAUCCUUUCACCGGUGAAGAUAAUGACUGUAGCCGGAGAAGAAGCCCCGGCUAACUUCGUGCCAGCAGCCGCGGUAAUACGAAGGGGGCUAGCGUUGUUCGGAAUCACUGGGCGUAAAGCGCACGUAGGCGGAUCUUUAAGUCAGGGGUGAAAUCCCGGGGCUCAACCUCGGAACUGCCUUUGAUACUGGAUGUCUUGAGUGUGAGAGAGGUAUGUGGAACUCCGAGUGUAGAGGUGAAAUUCGUAGAUAUUCGGAAGAACACCAGUGGCGAAGGCGACAUACUGGUCCAUUACUGACGCUGAGGCGCGAAAGCGUGGGGAGCAAACAGGAUUAGAUACCCUGGUAGUCCACGC
rnacentral:rRNA from 1 species